rnacentral:rRNA from 1 species
UACGUAGGGACCAAGCGUUGUUCGGAUUUACUGGGCUUAAAGGGUGCGUAGGCGGUGCAGCAAGUCGGGUGUGAAAUCCUCCAGCUCAACUGGAGAAUUGCGCCCGAAACUGCUGUGCUUGAGAAAGAUAGAGGUACGCGGAACUUAGGGUGGAGCGGUGAAAUGCGUUGAUAUCCUAAGGAACACCGGUGGCGAAAGCGGCGUACUGGGUCUUUUUCUGACGCUGAGGCACGAAAGCCAGGGUAGCGAACGGG